GACGGAGGGGGCAAGCGUUGUCCGGACUCACUGGGCGUAAAGGGUGCGUAGGCGGGUUUUUAAGUCAGAGGUGAAAUCCUGGAGCUCAACUCCAGAACUGCCUUUGAUACUGAGAAUCUUGAGUACGGGAGAGGUGAGUGGAACUGCGAGUGUAGAGGUGAAAUUCGUAGAUAUUCGCAAGAACACCAGUGGCGAAGGCGGACUCACUGGCCCGAUACUGACGCUGAGGCACGAAAGCGUGGGAGCAAACAGGG
rnacentral:rRNA from 1 species